ensembl:lncRNA
GGGGAGAGAGAGGGAGGAGGGAGAAGGAAGGGAGGGAGGGAAAGGAGGAGAUGGGGGAGGAAGGAGGGGAGAGAGGGAGGGAAGAGGGAGGAGGAGAGGAAGGGAGGGAGGAGGAUGAGGAAGGGAGAAAGGAGGAGAGGGCGAAGGAGGAAGGGAGAAAGGGAGGGAGGAGGAGAGAAAGGGAGAAAGAAGGGGAGGGAGGGAGGAGGAGAGGGAGGGAGGGGGGAGGGAGAGGAGAGGAAGGAAGGAGAGAGGAGGAAGGAGAGGGAUGAGAGAGAGGGAGAAGGAGAGGGAGGGAGGAGGAGAGAAAUGGAGAAAGAAGGAGAGGGAGGGAGGGGAGAGGGAGGGAGGGAGGAGGAUAGAGAGAGAGAGGAGAGGGAGGGAGGGAGGAGGAUAGAGAGAGAGAGGAGAGGGAGGAGGAAGAGAGGAGGUAGGGGGAAGGGAGUAGAGAGAGGGAGGGAUCAGAGGGAGGAGGAGAGAGAGGGAGGGAGGAGGAAGGGAGGAGGAUAGAGGAGAGGGAGGAGGAAGAGAGGAGAGGGAGGGGGUAGGGAGGAGAGAGGGAGGGAGGGAUCAGAGGAAGGGAGGAGAGGGAGGGAGGGAGGAGGAUAGAGAGAGAGAGGAGAGGGAGGAGGAAGAGAGGAGGUAGGGGGAAGGGAGUAGAGAGAGGGAGGGAUCAGAGGGAGGAGGAGAGAGAGGGAGGGAGGAGGAAGGGAGGAGGAUAGAGAGAGAGAGGAGAGGGAGGAGGAAGAGAGGAGAGGGAGGGGGUAGGGAGGAGAGAGAGGGAGGGAUCAGAGGAAGGGAGGAGAGGAGGAGAGAGAGGGAGGGAUUUAGGAGGAGGGGAGAGGGAUGUGGGAGGAGGGGAUGAGGGGAAGGAGGGAGGAGGUCCAGGGCAGAGUCUCUCUCCCUCUCCUCAUGCUUCCACACACUGAGGCCUCCUUGGGACGGAUGGCAACAACCUCUUCAUAGGGCAGCAGUAGAACCU